rnacentral:lncRNA from 1 species
ACUAGACCAAAAAAUAAUUAUUUGGAUAAUCUUGGUCUAGUGCCGUUUGUUUUCCAUUGAAGUUAAAGGCCUUCAAAUCUUUUUUCCUUGAUUUUCAGGUAAAAGGAAAGUUAUCAUUGAUGAUGUAGAAAAGGUAAUAAGUGAUGCAAAAAAUCCCGAAUUUGUGCCUCAUAAAUACUUGAAAGAGAAACUAAACCAAGAGGAACUAAGUCAUUUGAGAUGGAUGCUACAAAAAGAAAACAUGAAGCAAGAUAUAUUUUUAAUCGGGCGGCCAGGAAUCAGCCGAAGAAAUUUAGCUAUGGCUUUUUAGAGCUGACUUGUAAAGAAUAUGAAUAUGUUUCUCUGUCACGAGAUACCACAGAAGCAGAUUUGAAGCAAAGACGUGAAAUUAUCAAUAGUUCUGCAAAGUAUAUUGAUCAGAGUGCCGUGCGAGCAGCUACGCAAGGAGAGCUCUAGUACUAGAAGGGAUUGAAAAAGCUGAAAGAAACGUUUUACCUGUUCUGAAUAAUUUACUUGAGAAUAGAGAGAUGCAUCUAGAAGAUGGUAGAUUCUAAUUGAAAGCCAUACAUAUGAUAAAUUACUUGAGGUUUGUACUCUAUUCUAUCCUUGUAUUGUUUGCCUCAAAAAAAAUGAGUCACUUUUUCUGAUGCUCAGAUGGUGCCAUGAUGUUUCAGUAAAGAGAAU